GACACGGUCCAAACUCCUACGGGAGGCAGCAGUGAGGAAUAUUGGUCAAUGGACGUAAGUCUGAACCAGCCAAGUAGCGUGCAGGAUUGACGGCCCUAUGGGUUGUAAACUGCUUUUGUUGGGGAGUAAAGUUGGGCACGCGUGCCUUUUUGCAUUUACCCUUCGAAUAAGGACCGGCUAAUUCCGUGCCAGCAGCCGCGGUAAUACGGAAGGUCCAGGCGUUAUCCGGAUUUAUUGGGUUUAAAGGGAGUGUAGGCGGUCUGUUAAGCGUGUUGUGAAAUUUAGGUGCUCAACAUCUACCUUGCAGCGCGAACUGGCGGACUUGAGUGCACGCAACGUAUGCGGAAUUCAUGGUGUAGCGGUGAAAUGCUUAGAUAUCAUGACGAACUCCGAUUGCGAAGGCAGCGUACGGGAGUGUUACUGACGCUUAAGCUCGAAGGUGCGGGUAUCGAACAGGAUUAGAUACCCUGGUAGUCCGCACGGUAAACGAUGGAUGCCCGCUGUUAGCGCCUGGCGUUAGCGGCUAAGCGAAAGCAUUAAGCAUCCCACCUGGGGAGUACGCCGGCAACGGUGAAACUCAAAGGAAUUGACGGGGGCCCGCACAAGCGGAGGAACAUGUGGUUUAAUUCGAUGAUACGCGAGGAACCUUACCCGGGCUUAAAUUGCACUCGAAUGAUCCGGAAACGGUUCAGCUAGCAAUAGCGAGUGUGAAGGUGCUGCAUGGUUGUCGUCAGCUCGUGCCGUGAGGUGUCGGCUUAAGUGCCAUAACGAGCGCAACCCUUAUCGAUAGUUACCAUCAGGUUAUGCUGGGGACUCUGUCGAGACUGCCGUCGUAAGAUGUGAGGAAGGUGGGGAUGACGUCAAAUCAGCACGG
rnacentral:rRNA from 1 species